GGAGUUAUGCUAUCAGGUGGAUGGCUCGGCUCAAGAGCUGAUGAAGGAC
rnacentral:rRNA from 1 species